AUGAACAGAAAUAAAAUCGAGGUCGCCGGGCAGCCGGAGCUCCAGAGGACGGCUUCCCCCGGCCAGCAGCAGCAGCAGCAGCAGCCCAGCGGGAAGUCGGUCUCUAAAGAUGGACGGACAACACAGAUCCAGACGCAGACUGAGGACUUCUCCAGAGCCACAGAGGACUCCCAGGCGGAGGAGAAGACGCACAGUGACGAGCCUCCUCCUCCGCGUCCUCCCCUCUCUGAGCCCACAGUCGGAGGGAAAAGGGAAACGGAACACAGCGGUGAAACCGCAGGAAGGUGUGUUGGUGAAGACGAGGUCAAAGGUCAGACUGAGCUCGCGGCGCCUCGCGGAGAAACGGGCCGUGCCGCCGCCUCGGAGGAUCGGCGGGAACGCGUCCGGACGCCGCCGCAGCCCAACGCUGUGUACGGAUCAGGCUUAGUGCAGCAUUUCAACAUUUCCCUCCCUGCGAGAGAGGAGAGCGGCGUUUCCCCCCGGGCCUGGAGAAACCAGGAAGUUAUUGUUAGUUUUAGGACAGCGAACGACCACAUGGGGCGAGUCUCAAGCCCCGACGUGGAAACUCUAUCCCCAGGCUGCGAUGAAACAAACACACAUUUUCAACUUUGCCACUGCGGAGGGCCGAGAGCGGGAGGCAACGCAGGCUCACACCGGGUCAGAGGUCGAGGGGAACCAUCUCCCACCAACACAGCUCGUCUCCGUCCGCCGGACGGCACGCGUCGACCUCCGACGCCCCCGAAGCGCGGCGCGUUUCCCGGGCAUUCCACCACGAGACGCAGUCGUGGCGGCGGCUGUGGCGGUGGCGGCGGCGGCGGCGGCAGCGAGGAUGGAGAUCACCCAUCCACACGGUGUCACCAGUUUCCCAAGCUCCCGUCCCUUCCUCCCGGCCUCGGCACUCACGAUUCCCAUUGGAAUCCACCGGAGGGUGAUUGUGCCAGCGACGCUCCCGGCGAGGCCGAGGAGGGACGCAUGUCCUCGGGGGAAGUGAGGCAGGACCAGACACUUGGACCUGGGCCAGGGGCUCAGCAUCGAUCGAACAGAGGAAACAACACUCUGGGUAACUUGGACAUAAACUAUAUUAAACAGGUAUUAGGGAUAUUUUUAAUUAUUUUCUUUAAAUUGUUAUUUUCCUUGGUGGGAAAAUUACUUGGAAGUGUAUUUGGAGCUGAUUGGUCUGAGGUCAAGUUCAACAAAGAAUACUGUAUUUCCCGAAAGGCACAUGGUUCCAAUAUAUCUCAAAUAAUUGGGCAAUAG
rnacentral:lncRNA from 1 species